GUCGAAGUUGUGUAAGAUAGCUGUAUCUGGAAGUUUAACGUAAAAGUAUGUUGAUCGUAGAUUAAGCUCGAGAAGUGGACUGUGGCGAAUAACGACGAAUAGCAGGAGGACUAAAGAAGAAGGAAAAAAGCGUUUAAUCGCUGAUAAUGAGGAAAUGGUGAGAAGGCGAAUUGCGUAGUAGAAAUGCGUAAAUAAAAUAAGGGCAUAUGAAAUCUAGAUGUGUGAAAGAUUAAGAAUGGAACAUAGUAGCGAUGUUGAUUUAGUGUAGGAGUUUCCGGAAACAUGGGUUAGUUUUGUGGAAAUUGUAAAAUAUGUAAAAAGAUUGUAGGUUAGAUGUGUGAAAGUUG